rnacentral:rRNA from 1 species
AUACGUAGGUGGCAAGCGUUAUCCGGAUUUACUGGGUGUAAAGGGCGCGUAGGCGGGGAUACAAGUCAGAUGUGAAAUCUAGGGGCUCAACCCCUAAACUGCAUUUGAAACUGUAUUUCUUGAGUGAUGGAGAGGCAAGCAGAAUUCCUAGUGUAGCGGUGAAAUGCGUAGAUAUUAGGAGGAAUACCAGUGGCGAAGGCGGCUUGCUGGACAUUAACUGACGCUGAGGCGCGAAAGCGUGGGGAGC